UGGCAGACGGCUGAGUAACGCGUGGGUGACGUACCUGUUGGUGGGGAAUAACUGCCCGAAAGGGUGGCUAAUUCCGCAUAAGUCCUUCGGUUCAAUCCGAAGGGGAAAGCCGCAAGGCGCCGAUGGAGCGGCCCGCGUCCGAUUAGCUGGUUGGUGGGGUAACGGCCUACCAAGGCGACGAUCGGUAGCUGGUCUUAGAGGAUGAUCAGCCAGACUGGGACUGAGACACGGCCCAG
rnacentral:rRNA from 1 species